rnacentral:rRNA from 1 species
AGAACGAACGCUGGCGGCAUGCCUAACACAUGCAAGUCGAACGCUCUUGGGAUUUCGGUCUCAAGGGAGUGGCGCACGGGUGAGUAGCGCGUGGGAACCUGCCCUGUUGUGGGGGAUAACCGAGGGAAACUUCGGCUAAUACCGCAUGCGCCCCCGGGAGUGAUCCUGGGGGGAAAGAUUUAUCGCAGCAGGAGGGGCCCGCGUCGGAUUAGGUAGUUGGUGGGGUAACGGCCCACCAAGCCUGUGAUCCGUAGCUGGUCUGAGAGGAUGAUCAGCCACACUGGGACUGAGACACGGCCCAGACUCCUACGGGAGGCAGCAGUGGGGAAUAUUGGACAAUGGGCGCAAGCCUGAUCCAGCAAUGCCGCGUGAGUGAUGAAGGCCUUAGGGUUGUAAAGCUCUUUCGCCCGCGACGAUGAUGACGGUAGCGGGAGAAGAAGCCCCGGCUAACUUCGUGCCAGCAGCCGC